UUCUGGCUCAGGAUGAACGCUGGCGGCAGGCUUAAUACAUGCAAGUCGAACGGUAAGGUCCGAAGUGGCAACACGGAGGAUACACGAGUGGCGCACGGGUGCGUAACGCGUAUGCAACCUGCCCCCGACCGGGACAAAACAGCUGGAAACGGCUGCUAAUAUCCCAUGGUCAUGCGGAAGGGCAUCCUUCUUCAUGUAAAGAUUCAUUGGUCGGGGAUGGGCAUGCGUAUUAUUAGGUAGUUGGCGGGGUAACGGCCCACCAAGCCGACGAUGAUUAGGGGUCCUGAGAGGGUUAACCCCCACACUGGAACUGAGACACGGUCCAGACUCCUACGGGAGGCAGCAGUAGGGAAUAUUGGGCAAUGGGAGCAAUCCUGACCCAGCCAUGCCGCGUGAAGGAAGACGGCCCUAUGGGUUGUAAACUUCUUUUGCCGCAGAGUAAACCCGGUCACGAGUGGUCGGUUGAGAGUAUGCGGCGAAUAAGUAUCGGCUAACUCCGUGCCAGCAGCAGC
rnacentral:rRNA from 1 species